rnacentral:rRNA from 1 species
UACGUAGGGUGCAAGCGUUGUCCGGAAUUAUUGGGCGUAAAGAGCUCGUAGGCGGUUUGUUGCGUCGGCUGUGAAAUCCCGAGGCUCAACCUCGGGUCUGCAGUCGAUACGAGCAAACUAGAGUGUUGCAGGGGAGACUGGGAAUUCCUGGGUGAUAGCGGUGAAAUACGCAGAUAUCAGGAGGAACACCCGAUGGCGAAGGCAGGUCUCUGGGCAUUAACUGACGCUGGAGGAGCGAAAGCAUGGGGAGCGAACAGG